rnacentral:rRNA from 1 species
GCAAGUCGAGCGAGAAAGGCCUUCGGGCUGAGUACAGCGGCGGACGGGUGAGUAACGCGUAGGAAUCUACCUGGUAGUGGGGGACAACUCGAGGAAACUCGAGCUAAUACCGCAUAAUCCUUACGAGGGAAAGCAGGGGAUCUUCGGACCUUGUGCUAUUAGAUGAGCCUGCGUCGGAUUAGCUUGUUGGUGAGGUAAGAGCUCACCAAGGCGACGAUCUUUAGCUGUUCUGAGAGGAUGAUC